AUAUGAGACCUCUUCGACGAGUCGAGUUGUUUGGGAAUGCAGCUCAAAAUGGGUGGUAAAUUUCAUCUAAAGCUAAAUACCGGCUGGAGACCGAUAGCGCACAAGUAGAGUGAUCGAAAGAUGAAAAGCACUUUGGAAAGAGAGUCAAACAGUACGUGAAAUUGUUGAAAGGGAAGCGCUUGCGACCAGACCUGCCCGUAGGUGAUCAACCGCUGUUCUCAGCGGCGCACUCACCCUGCGAUCAGGCCAGCAUCGGUUUGGGCGGCCGGAUAAAGGCCCCGGGAAUGUAGCUCCGCUUCGGGGGAGUGUUAUAGCCCGAGGUGUCAUGCGGCCAGCCGAGACCGAGGACCGCGCUUCGGCUAGGAUGCUGGCGUAAUGGUCGCAAGCGACCCGUCUUGAAACACGGACCAAGGAGUCUAACAUCUAUGCGAGUGUUUGGGUGUCAAACCCAUGCGCGUAAUGAAAGUGAACGGAGGUGAGACCCCUUAAGGGCGCAUCAUCGACCGAUCCAGAUGUCUUCGGAUGGAUUUGAGUAGGAGCAUAGCUGUUGGGACCCGAAAGAUGGUGAACUAUGCCUGAAUAGGGUGAAGCCAGAGGAAACUCUGGUGGAGGCUCGCAGCGGUUCUGACGUGCAAAUCGAUCGUCAAAUUUGGGUAUAGGGGCGAAAGACUAAUCGAACCA
rnacentral:rRNA from 1 species